ensembl:lncRNA
AGUAUUCAUAGAAUAUAACUGCACUCGAUGCACUAUGACAUCUGAGAAGGUGAGUGUGUUCAUUUAUGUACACAAGAGCCAAUUAUAACAGCAACAAUUGACAUAGGAAAUCAUAUUUUAAUUUAAGUACUGAGUACAAAAUAGAUCCUAUUUUUUCCUUUUCAUUGAAUUAAAUGAGAAGAAGAACUUUUUAUUUUAUUUUGUAGUUUAUUUAAACAAUUUUUUUUUUUGUUGUUGUUUUUGCCAUAACAUUUAAAGGGUUGCAAAUUUAGCUUAAAUUAAGCUGUCAUUCUUAGUUUCAUUGUCAAUUUUAAGGAAUGUAAAAAAAUCUAUAUAAAUAUAAAAAUUCUGGGCUGGGGAAAAUUCAUACAGUUGUCACGCUACGCUGCCGGAAGGUACACGGAGCCGAGAAUAAUUGAAAGAGUCUUUAUUAAUCCAACACAUUGGUAACUCCAACAUGGAGAACAGGAGGAAGACACACGUACUUAACUUGUAGACCCGACAAAACUGAACUGAAAGGACUAAAGGCAGGAUAAUUGCGGAAGAAUGAGAUACACCUGGGAUCAAAUUAACACAAUCAAAUAGAAGACAAAACUGGAUCACAGGGGCAAAAACACACAAUCCAUAAUCCUGACAACGGUUAAAUUGUUGCACACAAAAUUAGGGACAUUAUGCUAAAAAUACUUUAGAAUUCUUGCUAUAAUUAAAUUACAAAUAGUUUAAUUCUAUUCAACAGAAUGGUAAUAGAUUUUUUUGUAAAAAUUAUGACUUUACUGUUUGAUAUUUUAGGUGCAUUCAGGAGUUAGGCCUAUUUAAACUACUGUUGUAUACCAAUGCUACAAUGCUGUUAAAAGCUGUAGACCAGUGCUUUCCAAACCUGUCCUGGAGGCCCCCUUGCCCUGCUCUUUUUGUAUGUCUCCCUUAUCUUCACACCUGAUUCCAUUCAUCAGCUCAUUAGUAGAGACUGCAAGAACUAAAUUGGGUGUGUCUGAUUAGGGAGACAUACAAAAUGUGCAGGGCAGGGGGGCCUCCAGGACAUGUUUGGGAAGCACUGCUGUAGGCAAUCUAUGGACGAGAAUUGACGUUUUAUUUAAAUUACAUUUAGGACUUUUCUGCUUAUUCGGCCAUAAAUGUACUGAUUCUCCCGUUGUCUCCGCUGAGGCGGCAUCUAAUGAGCGUCGACAGGAUUCUGGCGUUUAGCAAAACACUGCGAUCACGUCAUUUCAAGCAUUGCGGAAAUGCAAAUUAACAAAAUUAAUCCCUUUUACAGAAAACUAGUUUUCAUCUCAUGUGAGUGUACACAAGAUCACUCUUAACGAAAUCACAAUGUUUUUAAUGUGAAAAACUUUUUAAGUGCACUGAUUGGACUUUUAAUUGUAGACACAAUUGAGAUCUCUCCAGAAAGGCAAAAAUCACAAUUAAACAACCUAGUUAGAAUAGUUUAUCUAGUUCAUUUAUUACAUUUAUUAGUUCUCACAAAAAAAAAAAA